ACGAUCUCAAACAGAGCAACAUCAUCCAUAAUAUCAUGUAUAUAUAAUAAGAAGCACAAUGUAGCAAGCCUAUAUAUGAAGAUACAAGUGAACAAUGCCACUUACCUCUUGAAGCUAUGCUUGCUACCGUUAGCCUAGCACCUCGGAUGACCUCUCCCUUCUCUUUGCUGGCUUCGUUUCCUCUUUGCAAGCAGAUGGUGAAUCCCCCUAGCCCUCUGUCUCCCUUCUCUUGUCUCGAUCUUGAAGUCUCUUGGUGCCGAAGUCUCGCGGUGUCGAACUCUUUCUGUAAUCACCCUUCCAACCUUUCUCGAUACUCCCUUGCUCUCCUCCCUGAAGAUAAAGUUCUUUUCUCCUUUCUCCCUCGGUUGUUAUUACUCUCCCUCUGCCUUUGAUACUGAUCCCCCAAAACCUUCUCCCAAAAGUCAUUCUUGUUGCUGUCAAAACCAAAUUGUCUUGUACCUUUGCCAAUUUGCAAUGUUCCCUGUUGUGUGUCUUUUUUUGUUGCUCCUGCCUCUCCUUUUCAGAAACGGCCUUGCUACCCCAAAACCCAAACUGAUUCCCCAAAACAAACCUCUGCCAAUCCCGAAAACAUACCUCUGCCAAAAUCAAUCAUGCAUCUGUCAUGUCCCCCUUUGUCGUUUUCACACGUGGCUUCUCUCUUCUUCCAAAACUUUUCCAACAUUUUUUCAUUUUUUUUAUAUUAUUAUUAUUUUUAUUUUUUUUAUUUUUAUUUAUUUAUUUUUUUUAGACGAUAAAAUG
rnacentral:lncRNA from 1 species